CCCUUAGAUGUCCUGGGCCGCACGCGUGCUACACUGACGCAUACAGCGAGCACUUUCCAGUUCCGAGAGGCUACUGGUAAUCAUCAAUAUGCGUCGUGAUGGGGAUAGAUCUUUGGAAUUCUGGAUCUUGAACGAGGAAUGCCCAGUAAUCGCAGGUCAUUAGCCUGCGAUGAUUAAGUCCCUGCCCUUUGUACACACCGCCCGUCGCUACUACCGAUUUCGAGUGGUCAGGUGAAUCUUUCGGACUGUGGGCGCCCUUGAGGUGUUCGCGGAAAGUCAGGUAAAUCUUAUCACUUAGAGGAAGUAAAAGUCGUAACA
rnacentral:rRNA from 1 species